CGGUGUUUAACUGGCGUGAUGUGGGACGUCCUACCGGUGGGCUUAGCCUCGCGAGGGGCGGCCCAACUAAUAUCCCGUCGCGGUGCUCUUUACUGAGUGUCGAGUCGGGCCGGUACGUUUACUUUGAACAAAUUAGAGUGCUUAAAGCAGGCUAUCCUCGCCUGAAUACUGCGUGCAUGGAAUAAUGGAAUAGGACCUCGGUUCUAUUUUGUUGGUUUUCGGAACCCCGAGGUAAUGAUUAAUAGGGACAGAUGGGGGCAUUCGUAUUGCGACGUUAGAGGUGAAAUUCUUGGAUCGUCGCAAGACGGACAGAAGCGAAAGCAUUUGCCAAAAAUGUUUUCAUUAAUCAAGAACGAAAGUUAGAGGUUCGAAGGCGAUCAGAUACCGCCCUAGUUCUAACCAUAAACGAUGCCAGCUAGCGAUCCGCCGAAGUUCCUCCGAUGACUCGGCGGGCAGCUUCCGGGAAACCAAAGCUUUUGGGUUCCGGGGGAAGUAUGGUUGCAAAGCUGAAACUUAAAGGAAUUGACGGAAGGGCACCACCAGGAGUGGAGCCUGCGGCUUAAUUUGACUCAACACGGGAAACCUCACCAGGCCCAGACACCGGAAGGAUUGACAGAUUGAUAGCUCUUUCUUGAUUCGGUGGGUGGUGGUGCAUGGCCCGUUCUUAGUUGGUGGAGCGAUUUGUCUGGUUAAUUCCGAUAACGAACGAGACUCUAGCCUGCUAAAUAGGCGUACCUUAUGGUAUCGCGAAGGCCCCCGGCUUCGGCCGGUGGGUUUUUACUACCAACGUACAAACAAAUUUUCUUAGAGGGACAGGCGG
rnacentral:rRNA from 1 species